UACGAAGGGGGCGAGCGUUGUUCGGAUUUACUGGGCGUAAAGGGCGCGCAGGCGGUUCUGUUUGUCGAGUGUGAAAGCCCCGGGCUCAACCUGGGAACUGCGCUCGAAACGGCGGAACUAGAGUUCGGGAGAGGAGAGUGGAAUUCCCAGUGUAGAGGUGAAAUUCGUAGAUAUUGGGAAGAACACCGGUGGCGAAAGCGGCUCACUGGCUCGGUUCUGACGCUGAGGCGCGAAAGCGUGGGGAGCAAACAGG
rnacentral:rRNA from 1 species